rnacentral:lncRNA from 1 species
AAACUUGUUUACGAAGCUCAUGAAAUAGAAGUUGAUGCAGACCAUUGGUUGUUUCACACCAACUACUUUUCUAUAGAAAAAUAGCUUACCCAUAAAUUAAGAGACAAUAACCGAGGAGAGCAUAGAAGUUGGAAGGUAUUUACAUUGUUGUUGAUGCAAAGAGAUAGUAAGCAGAGGUUGUUAGAGGAUGUGGAACUUAAGAUCUACAGUAUGGUGGAUAAAUUAUUUGGGUCAACAGUAAUAUUUCAGAGUUUGGAAUGAUGAAAAGAGUUUAUAUACUGUGAUAUUCCAUUCAAAUGCACUUACCAUAAAAACGAGGUAGAAGAAAGGAAGAAGAAAGACUAACCUUGAAUCAUUAGCUUCAAGUGUCUAACAGUAGCAAAGGAUGGACUGGUAGACGACGAACACUAAGCAAAGCCAAUGUGGACGACGGUGAGAGAUCAGAAUGUUGUUGUAAAAUCGUGAGAGGCAGGGUAUCACAGUCGCCGUGUUGGGUUUUAGCGUGGCUUUAGCAGUUGUGCUAGAGCGCACUAUAGAGCAAAAAGAAUUAGAUUGAAAGAGGCCGAAAAUGGGGGAAAAUAUUUGGAGGGAACUUAAAUAUUUAUUUCCCACUUUUUCUUUGUUGUUCUUUUCCACAUCCCAUUUAAAAUAAUGGGCUAUUAAAAGUUCGUUUUUGGUGUAGUGCUAUUUGUGUCUCGAAUCGUCCAUUUUCGUUCAAACUACUUUAAAGAUACAAGUAUUAUAACCAACAACAAGAUCGAAAAGAAUUGGUCUAUGCAACUUCAACCUACGUGGCUUUAUCAGGUUCACACACACAAUGAGUGACUUUCCUUCGUUUGGAUCCAUUUCGAAAAUUGUACUCUAAUGGCCCAAAAUGAAAGGCCAUCGUCUAUUUACUCGAAUCCUAGCAAUAAUUUAUUCUCACUUAAAAUUUUAAACGUAUAUGGAAAGCCCACAAUGCUCGACCCAAAAUUAACGUAUAAAAAUACCAAACCAUAGUCUUGCCUAUUUGGUAGUUAAUUUGAAUCUCAAAGCCCAACCCCGAUUACAAGAACACUCUCUCAUGAGAGACCCCAUUAUAAGAACACAUUCUCAAAGUUUUUAACCACUCAUACUUUUUAUCCACUAUCCAACUAGAUAAUACAGAAGAAAUUUAAUUAGAGUAAUCACACUAAAACUUAAAAUGUUUAUAAGUGAGAAUUUCUAAAUAAAUGAAAUAGGUUUCUUUUAUAGGAUUUGAGUCUCAAUUUUCUAAAAAAAAGAUAACCACAUCUUGCCAAACCCAAUACUUAAAAACAAACAAAUCAAAUAAUUAUCUUUACAAAAAAAAAAACUAAAAAAAUACAAGUCGAUUCCUAUUUAUUAAAAUAAUAAAGAAAACCUGUUACCAAAAUAUGAAAUUUG